CGGCGUGCCUAACACAUGCAAGUCGAACGUGAAAGUGGGCAACCAUGAGUAAAGUGGCGCACGGGUGAGUAACGCGUAGGUAAUCUACCUUAUAGUCUGGAAUAACCUGCCGAAAGGCGGGCUAAUACUAGAUAGAGCGGUGAGUCUGUAAUGGAUUUAUCGGGAAAGGGAGCUCGUAAGGGCCCUCGCUAAGAGAUGAGCCUGCGUCCCAUUAGCUAGUUGGUGAGGUAAUGGCCCACCAAGGCGAUGAUGGGUAGCUGGUCUGAGAGGAUGAUCAGCCACACUGGGACUGAGACACGGCCCAGACUCCUACGGGAGGCAGCAGUGGGGAAUAUUGGACAAUGGGCGCAAGCCUGAUCCAGCAAUGCCGCGUGUGUGAAGAAGGCCUGCGGGUUGUAAAGCACUUUCAGUGGGGAAGAACGGAUACGGGCCAAUACCCCGCAUCACUGACGUUACCCACAGAAGAAGCACCGGCUAACUCCGUG
rnacentral:rRNA from 1 species